GCUUGUAUAUAUCCCGGCCGCCGCUUGCUGCUUUCUUCUAGUCUUCUCCAAUUAUUCGCCCAUCUCUCUCUCUCUCUUCUUCCUCCUCUCCUCCAUGAAAGCUAGGGAAAUUAACUAAGGGCAGUGGUGCACCACAAGUUGGUGAAGCUGCCAGCAUGAUCUGAUGAUGAUGAUGAUCCACCUCUCUCAUCUGUGUUCUUGAUUAAUUACGGAUCAAUCGAUCAGGUCAUGCUGUAGUUUCAUCUGCUGGUUGGGAGCACAGCAAAAAAAAACCCUAACUUUGUAGCCGGAUUUGCAUGGAUUAAUCUGCUAGGUAGCUCAUCAGAUUCUUUGAGAGUUUGCCUUGCUCUUCUGCAGAUGAAGACGUAAUCUUUGAACAGAUGGGAUUCUCAACUCUCAAGGUGAGGUAGUCAUCAAUCCAAUCCAUAUACCUGCUCAAAUUCAGUUUUAAUUAAAGACUAGCUGCUUCUAUGGAGUUAA
rnacentral:precursor_RNA from 1 species